GCCUCAGUAGCUCAGCGGUAGAGCGUUUGAUUCGUAAUCAAUAGGUCGGGGGUUCAAUUCCCCCCUGAGGCU
rnacentral:tRNA from 1 species